CAUCGCCUCUUGACUUAAAUAUAAGAGGUCCAGCCUGCCCAGUGACAAAAUUCAACGGCCGCGGUAUACUAACCGUGCGAAGGUAGCAUAAUCACUUGUUCUUUAAAUAGGGACUAGUAUCAACGGCAUCACGAGGGCUAUACUGUCUCCUCCCUCCAAUCAGUGAAACUGAUCCCCCCGUGAAGAAGCGGGGAUUUGACUAUAAGACGAGAAGACCCCAUGGAGCUUUAAACCCAAUAUAUACCCCCUCCCCAAGCAUCAACUUAAUCUAGCGGGCCUGUAUACUGGUUUUAGGCUGGGGGGGCCACGGAGUAAAAUUAAACCUCCACAACAAAUGGGCUAAUACCCUUACCCACGAUUUUAUAAAUCUAAGAAUCAUCAAAAUGAUGUCAAAUGACCCGAUAAUUCGAUCAAUGAACCAAGUUACCCUGGGGAUAACAGCGCAAUCUACUUCAAGAGCUCUUAUCGACAAGUAGGUUUACGACCUCGAUGUUGGAUCAGGGUAUCCAAGUGGUGCAACCGCUGCUAAUGG
rnacentral:rRNA from 1 species